GACGAACGCUGGCGGCAUGCCUAACACAUGCAAGUCGAGCGAGUAGAUCCCUUCGGGGUGAAGCUAGCGGCGGACGGGUGAGUAACACGUGGGCAACCUGCCUCAUAGAGGGGAAUAGCCUUCCGAAAGGAAGAUUAAUACCGCAUAAGAUUGUAGCUUCGCAUGAAGCAGCAAUUAAAGGAGUAAUCCGCUAUGAGAUGGGCCCGCGGCGCAUUAGCUGGUUGGUGAGGUAACGGCUCACCAAGGCGACGAUGCGUAGCCGACCUGAGAGGGUGAUCGGCCUCAUUGGGACUGAGACACGGCCCAGACUCCUACGGGAGGCAGCAGUGGGGAAUAUUGCACAAUGGGGGAAACCCUGAUGCAGCAAUGCCGCGUGAGUGAUGACGGCCUUCGGGUUGUAAAGCUCUGUCUUCGGGGACGAUAAUGACGGUACCCGAGGAGGAAGCCACGGCUAACUACGUGCCAGCCGCCGCCGUAA
rnacentral:rRNA from 1 species